AUGCCGAGAGGCGAGAGGAAAGUUCUCGCCUUGGGAUGGAUCCAGGUCAGGGAGGAUUGGAGAUUGAAUGAAUUUGCUGGGCUUUUUUUCAUUCUACCUGGGUUGAAUACUUUAUUGAAAACCAUACACAUCAAUUUUGUACAGGAAUCUUAUCCCAAUAUUUUUGACCACUACUGUACUUCGAUUUCGACAACAAAAGUUGUUUCAGUUUGCUAUGUGUCAGUUCACCAACAGGAGAGAAACCAUGCAACUUGGAACAUUAAAAGCUCAAGAUCGGCAACACCACCAUCAUGCAUCAUCCAAGCUGCUGUCCAGCUACCUUUGACACCUGCCGAGAGAGCAUCUAUCACGAUGAUCAUGAGAGAGCAGCUUUGGUUUCGUUCCGGAGUUAUGAGGUUCCGUUCGACUACAUCCGUUUGUCUUCUUCAUGGACUCGUUCUUCUUCCUAGCGGGAUCUCAGGCAAGAUAACAAUACCCUCGAAAUCACUUCUACCUUUGCUUGCUAGUUGUUCGCUCUAUUGCUAUGCUGCGCUACCUACCACUUGCUAUAUCAUGCCUCCCAUAUUGCCAUGUCAAGCCUCUAAUCCACUCUUACUAGCAAACCGUUGUUUGGCUAUGUUACCGCUUUUGCUCAGCCCCUCUUAUAGCGUUGUUAGUUGCAGGUGA
rnacentral:rRNA from 1 species